GCGAGCUAGCGACCGACGGGCAAGCGGGCGGCUCCAGGGAAGUGAGAGCGCCUCCGCCGCCCGGGCCAGGUUAAUAAACAUCUCUGCAACAGUACCUGCCAGAUAGAUUCUGCAAAGGCAAGAGUCCUGCCCUGGAGGAGCUCAAGGCAGCUCUCAUGAAGAAACGUGGAAUCUUAUAACCUCCCAACCUCCCAAGACCCACUGAAUCUGCAUUUUCACCAGAUCCCAAGGCAUGGAAGAAACGAAAUACACCUGAAAAUGUGUACCAGUGAAGUGACCACAGAGGAACUCUCAUCUUCCGCUGAGGCCCAGCUCACUUUGUGGAAGACCUUCAAGAUGCCCAGGCACAAGAUGAAGAAGGCAAGGCUGGAGAGGUGAAGAAGUUUGUUGGAGUGGUGACAAAGCUAGUGGGUAGGAGAGCCAGCACUUGAACACAGGCAGCCCAGCCCUAAGUACUUGUCCUACCUAAACCACUAUGCACCCCCUCCCCAGCUAGGGUAGUUGCAUAUUUUUGGAAAAUCCUUGAUAUGGUUUGGCUGCGUCCCCACCCAAAUCCCAUCUUGAACUGUAGCUCCCAUAAUUCCCACGUGUUGUGGGAGGGACCGGGUGGGAGAUAAUCGAAUCAUGGUGGUACCUUCCCCCAUACUGUUCUCGUGGUAAUGAAUAACU
rnacentral:lncRNA from 1 species